GAUUCUGUUCUUGUUUGCCGGCGGUGGAGUUUUAGAGAACCGGUUCCAACCCAAACGUACCCGAAUCAAACCUGACGUUCCGAUAGUUUCAUCCUUAUUCUCGCGUCCGGAAACCUCGUUGGCCUUUCCCUUGCCCUUGCCGUUGCGUGGCCACCGGGGAUGGCUUUUCAAUUUAACUUCAUCUCCCGGAACAACCAGAACGCGGAACAAAUCAACCAAGGCUGGUGGUUGGGCAGUAGGUGUUGGAUAGAGCAGCUUAAGGGAGGUUGGCUCCGGGACUGCAAAAUAACGGUCGGCCCUGCAGUUUCCCCAGGAGGAUGCGAACGGGAGGAUUACGGCGCCCAGAUUGUCGAUCCGCUAGAGAUGAACAGAUGUCACGCAGAACCGUCCCUGAUUUGGUCUGCAAUGAGUCGGAAUGAGCGUGAACACGUAGAGCACCUAUUCUGACCUAAAGGAUCAAGCUUUUGCAUCGUGGCUAGACCACCUGGGAGGUGGACUGGAUAAAACGGUGCUGCAGUAGCAACGGUAAAAAGUGUUUGAAAACUCCAACUCCAACUAACCUUCUCUUCUUCCAGGUCAAAUAAUUCGAGCAUGAUCUCCAAAAAGCAGGAAAAUAAAAGUCGGCUCUCGAGUUGCGCCCGGCGAUUUGUUCCGUAGUGACUGAAUUGGCCACUUCGCCGGAUUGCAGAACACAACGGUGCCCUUUUUUCGGUGGCCGAAAGGAAGCCCAACUCCGCAGAAGUCGACAAAGCAAUCUAGAAGCUAACCUCAAACCGGGACAGGUUGAAGGAAUCCAUCCGGAAUUAGCACGCCAUGGAACUGCAAGUUCCCUCGGAACGGAACAGCACGAAGAUGGUCGAACGAUGACUUGACCUGGACGACGGAACAACAACGCCUCAAGAACAAAAGACUAAUCGCAACCGCCUGGAUUACUUUGUUCAAUGGUUCGCAACCGGCAAUUUGUUCCGUUGAAGCGAAUCCGCUUACGAGGACUGACGAGAAGCUGCAGCGCAUCGAGGCGAUCGCCAAGGACGACGAGUUUGAUUACAACCAGAAGCUACAUUAUUUGGACGAGGAGUCGGAUCCGAACCAGCAGAAUGAGAUGAUGGCGCCGCAAGUCAGCAAGCAGCAGCUGCAACGCGAAUGAAAAGAGCGUGAAUCGCCCGUCCGUCAACCGCCGCCUCCGUCGCAACAGAUUUGCAACGUCGGCAUCGGAGGUCGUGGACUGGAUGCCGAGGCCAAGGAACGUCUCAAGUUGCGUCGCGAGGAAAACCAGCGAAGGAAGAUAAAACGUGACCAGGAAGCUUCAGGAGCAGGACGAUCGCUUCAUCAGCUGUGGCCGGGUGCCGGCCAACAAAAUGAGCGGCGGCGGUUGCCGUAAAACUACGCAGAUUAAUCGAAGCGGUUCGGAUACGUCGCAACGAAUCAGAUGCAGCAAUUCCAGCAGCAACACGAUUCGCGUAGAAUUUCAGAAUCGUCGGCGGAUCAAGGAAACCUCGAACAAGCUGGAGUCGUUGAAGGUGGAGGAGCAGAACCCAGCGAACCUGUUGGGCUUCUGUUGAAGCCUUGCGAAGAUUCGGUUUAAGCUGCGGAGGAAGCGAGCUGGUCACUUGACGUGAGCACAACCUAGUUGGAUGCGAUGACGGACAAAAAAUACGCUUCCGGGUCUGAUGCUGGCAAUAACGUCAGCGGCAGUCUGUCUGUGUUCAGGAGCUUUCGAUUGUGCUAACAAACAACGAUUCCAAUGGGCGGAUCGGUUUCAGAAGCGCUGGACCUGCAAACCCUCACGGUCAUCUCAGAACUCCCGGAGGUUUCCCAGACCUAGAUCUUGCCGAAAGCUGCCGUAUGACCAGGUCAUGUUUUCAACGACCGCCACAGUAUAUGUGCCCUAGCAUAUCAAAAUGUUCUAUUUCCAGUCACAAGAUUGACGAAGCCCGGAAAACCCCCUGGAACUUGACUUGCCACCCUGCCAAUAUUUUUUAUGCUUUGAUUUUUUAGAUUUUUUUAACGAUGGAU